ensembl:lncRNA
AGCAGAGGUUCUUCAUAGUCUGUGACCUUAUUUUCCCAUCAGGAUUGCUCUGAACUCACAUAGUUUCUGUAUGGAACACUCAAGUUUUCUAGUCUAGCUGCUGGAGACAGCAAUAUGUAGAUCUGAUGUUUGGAUACACCAAGCUCCAUAUGAGUCCAGCAGGGACAACUGGCCCCCAUGUGGAGGGCUGCGUUUGUCACAUGAAGCUGGUUAACUUGAGUGGAAGCAACCAUCCUGGCACAAAUUACUUGAUCAAGAAAUGGGAAAUCCUCUCUGCAGCUGUUCUUCUGUAAGAUAAUGCAGGUCCUAUCAAUCCAGUCCCAAGUAAUUAUUUAUAGCGGAUUUCUGCAAAGUAAUGAAGACUAAAGAUUGAAAGAAAAGUCCAGAACAUCUCUAAUAGUGACCAGUCACUAGAUAACCUCUGCAAAUUUAUUUAUUCAUGUGUGAAGGAGAUAGAAGGAAGGCAGGAGUCACACGAUUGCCAAAUCUUGGAUAUAUCUGAUGGUGGUGAGGCAUUGGCACAUGUUGACUAGAG